rnacentral:rRNA from 1 species
UAAUACGUAGGUGGCAAGCGUUGUCCGGAGUUACUGGGUGUAAAGGGCGUGUAGGCGGGAAGAUAAGUCAGAUGUGAAAUUCCAUGGCUCAACUGUGGCGCUGCAUCUGAAACUAUUUUUCUUGAGUGAUGGAGAGGAAAGUGGAAUUCCUAGUGUAGCGGUGAAAUGCGUAGAUAUUAGGAGGAACACCAGUGGCGAAGGCGACUUUCUGGACAUUAACUGACGCUGAGGCGCGAAAGCGUGGGGAGCAAACAGG